UACAGAGGGUGCAAGCGUUGUUCGGAAUUAUUGGGCGUAAAGGGCGCGUCGGCGGUGCGGUAAGUCUGUAGUGAAAUCUCUGGGCUCAACUCAGAGUCUGCUGCAGAAACUGCCGUGCUUGAGUGUGGGAGAGGUGAGUGGAAUUCCCGGUGUAGCGGUGAAAUGCGUAGAUAUCAGGAGGAACACCGGUGGUGUAGACGGCUCUCUGGACCGUAACUGACGCUGAGACACGAAAGCGUGGGUAGCAAACAGG
rnacentral:rRNA from 1 species